rnacentral:rRNA from 1 species
UGGGGAAUAUUGGACAAUGGGCGAAAGCCUGAUCCAGCCAUGCCGCGUGAGUGAUGAAGGCCCUAGGGUUGUAAAGCUCUUUUGUGCGGGAAGAUAAUGACGGUACCGCAAGAAUAAGCCCCGGCUAACUUCGUGCCAGCAGCCGCGGUAAUACGAAGGGGGCUAGCGUUGCUCGGAAUCACUGGGCGUAAAGGGUGCGUAGGCGGGUCUUUAAGUCAGGGGUGAAAUCCUGGAGCUCAACUCCAGAACUCCCUUUGAUACUGAAGAUCUUGAGUUCGGGAGAGGUGAGUGGAACUGCGAGUGUAGAGGUGAAAUUCGUAGAUAUUCGCAAGAACACCAGUGGCGAAGGCGGCUCACUGGCCCGAUACUGACGCUGAGGCACGAAAGCGUGGGGAGCAAACAGG